UUUUUGAAAAGGGACAUUACUAGUUUUAAGAAUUACAAUAAACGUUUGGUUAAAGAAAAAAAGGGGUAACGUCUUCGUUUCCGUUUUCAUUCCCGUCAAUUCAAACCCGCAAAAACCCCCAAAUUUCAUUCUUCUUCCCCGCUGCUCCGAAGCACCGGAGCCUCACUUCAUUGUGCUUUUUCAUUUUUUCUUUCCUUUCUACCAGAGCUUCUUCUCUUCAUCCAAACACGGACAGUCACCGCGUCGACUAUUCCGCUAUCACUCACCAUCUCCAACUGAUUCAUCUGUCGAGCUAUCACAUGCCUCCCCCAAAUAACCAUCCGUUAACAAAAUCACAAUCAGNNNNN
rnacentral:lncRNA from 1 species